rnacentral:rRNA from 1 species
UACAGAGGUCUCAAGCGUUGUUCGGAUUCAUUGGGCGUAAAGGGUGUGUAGGUGGCGCCGUAAGUCGGGUGUGAAAUUUCGGAGCUUAACUCCGAAACUGCAUUCGAUACUGCGGUGCUUGAGGACUGGAGAGGAGGACUGGAAUUCAUGGUGUAGCAGUGAAAUGCGUAGAGAUCAUGAGGAAGACCAGUGGCGAAGGCGGGUCCUCUGGACAGUUCCUGACACUGAGACACGAAGGCCAGGGGAGCAAACGGG